AAAGGAAAUAGCCAGAACCCUCAAGCAAACCUUCGACAACUCUCAAUAAAUAUACCAAAGAUUAACCGACAAGAAAAACAAAUGAUGUAUGCUAAAUGGGCCCAAAGAAAAUAAAUAAACAUAAGUUCCAUACUCUUACAUCAUCAUCUGCCUAGCCUUUUCCCAACUAUGUUGGGGUCGGCUUCCAGUCUAACCAGAUGCAGCUGAGUACCAGUGUUUUACUCACUCUCACUUUGGUAAAAGGGAGAAAGAAAUGAGAAUGGGAGUUGAAUUGAUGGUUCAAAAUGUUUUGUCAUGUUGGCUAUUUCUAUCAUUAAACUGCUUGAAAUUCACCAAAUUAUCACCAUGAAAAACCUAAAGAUACAAGUUCCAGACCAGUCCAGAUCAGAGAGAGAUGUGAGAUGAAACCAGUUGGAAAAAGCAAAAGGAAGGAUUACACACGAUAAUGUCAGUAUCAUUUCAUAGACGCCGCUCGCUGCUGAAUUCCGGGCUGCUUUGUAAAAGCUUCUAAAACUCACAAAGCCAUUUAGACCCGACCCGGGUAUCGAAACCAAGAAGAACGAAGAAUUUAAAAUUUCUACUGAAGAGCUAUGUCAAUCUAAUCAAGUAAGUACCAAUUUUUUAUAUAUUUUUAAGUCAUCAUAUUACUGUGCUUUUCCCCAGGGUAUGUUAGGAUGGGCAAUCAUAUAAAUAUCUAUUAACUAAAGAUUCUUGUUCCCACGGAUUUGUAUAUAGUUUUUAAUUUUUAGUUUGAGACUCAAACACUUAGGUAGGGAUAAUUUAUAACCUAGCCCAUUUAUAAUAUGCCUAAAUUUCUUGCCAGUACGUUUUUUUAUUGAGUAAAUAGCUAGAAACAGGCAUAAAAAUAGGCUAGGUUAGGCUAGGUUGAUAGGUAGGACAUAAAAAAA